GGACGAUGUUCCGUGCCUCCAUUGAUAAGGCAGCCGACUGGAGCUGUGGCCUUAAGGUGGUCGGUGCCUGUCGUGGCAGCAACACACGAACACGUUGGUGGACACCAACAGUGAGGGAUGCUGUCAGGCUGAAGAAGAUGAUGCCAACAGGAUGCAUACCUGCUGAGGUGAUCUGGGUAUAUCCCACUGGGAGAAGGCCCCGGGGACGAUCCAAGACAUGUUGGUGAGAUUAUUUCUCUUGGUUGUCCUGGAAAUGCCAGGGGAUUGCCCCGGAAGAGCUGGACAAAGUGGCUGGGGUGAGGAAAGUCUGAUCUUCAAUGCUUAAGCUUCUGCCUCCAUGACCUGAUACCGGAUAAGAAAAUGGAUGGUAGUUGGACAUAAUGAACGUACAGUAAUCGAUUAAGAGCUUGACCACAUCAAACCAAUCCAACAGAAUCAAAUUAAUCAACUCUAUUCAUACCAGGGUGGCACAGUGGAGAGCAGUGGCCUCAAACUGGCAACUUGCGGGACAUUUGUGGCCCAAGAGCACUUCUUUAAUCUGCUUGGGCAUUCAGGACAAAAAGAACUGCUCAGGUUGCAACAAAAGUCUUCUUCCACCCCUCCUCGAUGACAUCAUGAAAUCGGGGAACCAGGGCCAGCUGGGCCGUGUACCUGCAAUCAAACAGGAUUCAAAAUUGGCUGCAUUUAAGCCUACCAAAUCCAGGAUUCCACCGCUAGAGUAUUAAUGUUCAUCGGUGGUACACUGGCUUUUUCUUCACAUGUAAGCGAAGAUACUCCGCGGAAUUGAACUUACCUCCGUGUUCUUUUUGCUGCUCCCAUGCUCCCGCCCUUGCUGUUCUCUCCAGCCACAUCGCCUAGCUCUUCCACCUGGUCACGCCACCACUCGUUUAUUUUUUAUUUACAUUUGUUCUCAAACUGUUUAACCGUUUAAAAUGUUUAAUAAUAUGUAAGAAUACCAGACGACAUAGGGACAUUUUCUACCGCUUAAUCGAGGUCAGGUUGCAGGUGCAGAAACUUUAGCAGGGACGCCCAGACUUCUCUCUCUCAAGGAACUUCAUCCAGCACUUCCAAGGAGAUCCUGAGGUGUUCCCAGGCCAGCCCUGACAGUCACUCUAGCGUGUCCUGGGGCAUCCCUGGGGUCUCCUCCUGGUGGCAUCUGAAUCAUAUGCUCCAGCCACCUUAUCUAGCUCCUCUCAAUGUGGAGGAAUAGCAGCUCUACUGAGAUAAUCCCAGAUGAGCUUGUCUGUAGGGGGGACAGCCCAUACACCCUGCGAAGGAAACUCAUUUCAUUUCAUUUUAUUUCACCGUGGACAACUCAAGAGUGUAAGAGAGUCCAACCCCUCUCAAGAGAUCUGGCACCAAAGCCCAAGCAGUGUAUGGAGGCGUGUCCAACUAUAUCUAAUUGGAACUUCUCGACCUCACACACCAGCUUGGGUCAUUCAAUGCCAGAGUAAUGACAUUUGAUGCCCCUGGAGCCAGCUUCGGUAUCCGGGGAUGGGAUUGCCAAGAUCCCUGUCUUCAGCCGCUCCCCACCUCGUACUGUACCCAACCUCUAAGGCCCCUCCCACUGCUUGGCCAUCCCCCAUGGGUGCAGAGCUGGCCACCAGACACUCACCUUCAAGCCCCAUCUACAUCCCUUUCUCCAGAGGGGGACCCCGGUGAUCUGAGUCCGGGCAAGGGGAACCUUGAUCCACUUGUAUUUUUAAUCAUAGGAAUCUAUUAGCCGUGCCUUAAUUGGUCCUUCACCUUGGACCACUUUGCUUCAGGUGACCCUACCAGGGACAUGAAACCCCAGACCACCUAGCUCUUAGGAUCAUUGGGACCCACAAACCCCUCCACCAUGAUAAGGUGACUGAUUCUAGGAGGGACUGCAAAAUCCAUUGCAUUACAUUCUGUCAACCAAACCAAAUUAAUGGAUCACCGUGGUAGAAUCUUAACGCUCUAUUUGCACUUCGUCUCUUUCAGUUUGCAGCUGAUAACGAUUUAACCUAACAUGGUGGCCACUGUACAAUGAUUAUUUAUUCAGUUUUUUUUAUUAUUAUUAUUCCAGGAACAUAAUAUUCAUCAGAGUACUGUGCUUUUGACUAGGAUUCAUUCAUUGGGGUUGUGUUGCAAAUUGCCUGUUCUUUUAACUGUUGACUGUUGCAUUUUCAUAAUGGAAGGUGAAAUUA